AAACAAGGCCCCUGAGAUUUGAUAGGACCUGCCAUCUUGGAUAGGGCAGUGCAAGGGGCCGCCACUCUCAGGGAAAUAGGAGCAGCCAUCUUGGUAAGGGACAGUGUGACCGUGACGUAGAUUGGCGGGAAUCGCCAUCUUGUAGAGAGACAGGAGACACGGACAGGCUUGGAUAGGAGCGAUCGUGACAAUGAUUGGUGCCGCUAUGAAAGUUACUCUACUUUUUAUCACAGUCAGUACAAGUGCAGGGAGAGUUGCCACUCGUCGAAUCGCUGUCGAUUCCCGUCACAAAUUGAUGUUUACCUCAAAUAUUAGUGUCACCACGUGGCCCGGGGGGGGGUCUGUGUAGGCACGCGGGAAGGCCGCGCGCCCUCCGUGUGUCUGCAGAGACGAGAGACGAGGAACGAGAGACGCGUCGCUCAACAGCGACAGUGUCGCGCCUCGCAGUCGGCUGCUUCUGCCGUUGUCUUCUCUCCACUGCUGGAUGAAGGCAUCUUCCACCGCUCUCGCCGCUCACGGUCCAUCGCUCCCACCGUGCGUCCGUCUCUUGCUGCUCGUCGUCAACUCGUUCCAUGGCUCCGUCUCCGCAGUGGAAAGGGCCGCAGUUAAAGUGUCACUUUGUGCGUGCAGCAGUGAAGCCAGCCACACUCGUCACGAGAAGAGACGACGACCAGUGGUCGAGACUAACGACGGAGAGACACCCAAAGGGUGUGAACGCGCCCGCGGAGAGGAAAUCCAGCGCGGAGAUGGAGCGAUGAGAUCAGUUCACGCGCUGGAGAUGACAUGGAUUGUUCGAUUCCCGCUCACGACCACCAACAGCAGAUUCACAAAACUCAGAGGGAGAGUGCCGCCGCGUGUUGCAGUCGGCUCCUGCCAUUGUCUCUCCACUGCUGGAUGAAGGCAUCGUCCACCAGUCGCCCUCGCUCACGGUCCAUCGCUCCCACCGUUCGUCCAUCUCUUGCACGUGAACUCAUUCAUCGCUUAGUCUCCACAGGGGUCGUCCUUUACGGUAUUGUUUUAGGUUUACAUUUUGUGUCUGGGUUGUAAUGUACUGGGGCGUGGUGUAAAGUGAGUAUUGUAUGUGGAGUGUGUCGUGCAGUGUGGUAUACAGUGUAGUGUUGUGUAUAGUGUAGUGUCUGUAGUUUGUGGUUUAUCGUGUAGUGUCCGUAAGUGUGGUGUAUAGUGUGCAAUAACGUGGAUAGUACAGUCUGUGUCAUAUCUAGUGUAGUGUGAAGUGUCAAGUAUGGUAUGAAGUGUGUUGUACAGUGUAUAUUGUGUACUGUGUGUGGUUUAUGUGGUAUUGCAUAUAGCGUGUAUAAUAAAUUCCAUGUGAUGGAAAGUGUAGCCUAUGUGGCGUAAUGUAUAGUGUAGUGUGGCGACAAAUACAUUUCCUAGGGGUUGAGCCAUACUUCAUCACGCUGGUGAGUGCCUGGUGGUAGCAGGAUCGGUUCAGAUAUUACGAGCCAGUGAUGCUCCCCAUAGCUGGCAAUUAAAUUGAGAUUGUUGGCUUCAUAGACUCUGUCAUGGAGCUCUUGUGGUAUUGCAGCCACACACUGUUGGUCAUUGUAUAUUUACGUGCGGAAUUAAUGCAUUCAAAUGUAGCGGCUGUAAUCGAGCUAUUUAGUCCAUGGGCCAGAGCUGUAAUUGAUACAACGUUAGGUAGCAUGUUUAGUCACACCUUCGGAUAAAUACGCCUAAUGAGUGUGUUACUUGAUAACCGACACCUGCGAUUAGCACACUAGGCUACAUACGGUGCGAAAGAAAGUCAACAUGCAUACACCACCACUCAUUUCAAAUGUUUAUCAAAUAAUUCACUGUUUUUGCCCUCACAUUUGGAAUUUGCAACCACUGAAGUGAUGACAUCUCGUGGAUUCAGUGGGUAUCUGAACUGCAUGGCAAAACAGCCAUCAAAAUUCACUACUUUAUUAAACACAGAAAUAAUGCAGUAGUCAUUUCAUCAGUUCACGUUGCUGUAUGGAUGUCCCUUGGCUAUUAGAUCUGAACAUGGCCUUACGAACUACAUACAGAAUCAUACCCAAGAAUAGGAAUUUGAUUCAUACUUUUUUAUUUUAAAGUACGUAUUUUUGUAUUCACAAAAUUAUAAAAUGUACACAUUUACAAUGGUAAUAAUCUUCUUUGUGGAUGUGGUGCUGGCGCUUCUGGGCUGUGUUGUGUCAGCGGUAUUCAUCAGGACCCGGUGUGCAUCGCCCUUGCAGUGGUGGCAGCGGUGGUGGUAGGGGCAGCAACUUGACCACAUCCCUCGUGUGAUAUCAUCCAUCAGUGAUCACGGUUGAUCUCCGGGGUCAGGGUCGUCGCUGCUGCCUCUUUAUGCCAUUUCCCAUGGCCGCC